UGGGGAAUAUUGCACAAUGGGCGCAAGCCUGAUGCAGCCAUGCCGCGUGUAUGAAGAAGGCCUUCGGGUUGUAAAGUACUUUCAGCGGGGAGGAAGGCGAUAAGGUUAAUAACCUUGUCGAUUGACGUUACCCGCAGAAGAAGCACCGGCUAACUCCGUGCCAGCAGCCGCGGUAAUACGGAGGGUGCAAGCGGUAAUCGGAAUUACUGGGCGUAAAGCGCACGCAGGCGGUCUGUCAAGUCGGAUGUGAAAUCCCCGGGCUCAACCUGGGAACUGCAUUCGAAACUGGCAGUCUAGAGUCUUGUAGAGGGGGGUAGAAUUCCAGGUGUAGCGGUGAAAUGCGUAGAGAUCUGGAGGAAUACCGGUGGCGAAGGCGGCCCCCUGGACAAAGACUGACGCUCAGGUGCGAAAGCGUGGGGAGCAAACA
rnacentral:rRNA from 1 species